AUUGAACGCUGGCGGCAUGCCUUACACAUGCAAGUCGAACGGCAGCACGGGAGCAAUCCUGGUGGCGAGUGGCGAACGGGUGAGUAAUAUAUCGGAACGUGCCCAGUCGUGGGGAUAACGUAGCGAAAGCUACGCUAAUACCGCAUACGAUCUAUGGAUGAAAGCGGGGGAUCGCAAGACCUCGCGCGAUUGGAGCGGCCGAUAUCAGAUUAGGUAGUUGGUGAGGUAAAGGCUCACCAAGCCGACGAUCUGUAGCUGGUCUGAGAGGACGACCAGCCACACUGGGACUGAGACACGGCCCAGACCUCCUACGGGAGGCAGCAGGUGGGGAAUUUUGGACAAUGGGCGCAAGCCUGAUCCAGCAAUGCCGCGUGCAGGAUGAA
rnacentral:rRNA from 1 species